rnacentral:rRNA from 1 species
UACGUAGGGGGCUAGCGUUGUCCGGAAUCAUUGGGCGUAAAGCGCGUGUAGGCGGUCCGGUAAGUCCGCUGUGAAAGUCGGGGGCUCAACCCUCGGAUGCCGGUGGAUACUGUCGGGCUUGAGUACGGAAGAGGCGAGUGGAAUUCCUGGUGUAGCGGUGAAAUGUGCAGAUAUCGGGAGGAACACCAGUGGCGAAGGCGGCGAUCUGGGAAGAUACGUGACGCUGAGGUG